rnacentral:rRNA from 1 species
UACGUAGGGGGCAAGCGUUGUCCGGAAUUAUUGGGCGUAAAGCGUGCGCAGGCGGUUAUGCAAGACAGAUGUGAAAUCCCCGGGCUCAACCUGGGAACUGCAUUUGUGACUGCAUGGCUAGAGUGCGGCAGAGGGGGAUGGAAUUCCGCGUGUAGCAGUGAAAUGCGUAGAUAUGCGGAGGAACACCGAUGGCGAAGGCAAUCCCCUGGGCCUGCACUGACGCUCAUGCACGAAAGCGUGGGGAGCAAACAGG